AGAAUAAACCACCCAAGGAAAGUGUACGGAAUGUUUGGUGGCGACUCCUUCCUAUUAAUGCUGAACUUGGACGUCCUAAGUUUUCUCUUCCACCCCUGUUUGUGAAGAAUCUGGGGAGUUUGUGAGUGCAAAUAUAUAUAUAUUUUUCAGCUGUGUGCGGUUGCCACGCUACACCUUCUCCCUCCGGGUAAAUGCAAUUUCAAAACUUACGGAAAAGUAAAAGGAACUCUGAAAAGUGCAGACUUGGCCCCAAGGUCCAAACCACGGCCCGCUUUGCUCCUGCCUUAUCCGCACUCAGACGCCACACGCUUUUUGGAGCUGGUCUGUCCAGAAGCUGUUUCUUAAGAACGACUGGUCAUGGUGCGUCUGGGCCUUGAGUAACGUGCCCAGCUGUUUUCCGCGCUUAAUUAACCAAGUCUGCAUGAUCUGAUUAACCCAGAUGUUAGAACAUUGAUCCCAGAGAAAGAAGAAACCAUCUGUGGAAUUUACCCCUGGAUGGACCUCUCAGUUGCUUGAUCUGAUGUCCUGAGAAUCCCAGAAUCCAAGGAGAACCCAGCAGCUUUUCACUGAGCAAGGAACUGAUCACACUGAAGUGUGAAACUUUAUCCUUGGUCAGCUUGAGGUAUUGCAUUGCAAACCAAUCAAUCCUGCCUGAUCUUUCAAAGUCUGCAAAAGCCUAAGUGACCUGUUACACAGUCUGCCCAAAGGACAUGGACUUCGUCGUCUACAACACAGAAGAAGAGAUCCAAUCUUGAGACAAAAAGCCAACCACUGUGUGCUAGUAGUACAUGCCAGAUCUCAAUGGAAGAUGUCCCAUGGCAGCUGGCAUACAGCUGGACUUUCAGAACUUUCUCUCCCUAAAAAAAGUGGAUACAUUCUUUUCAAUCUCUACAUCCAUCAAAGCGGUCCUCAAUAUUUACCACACCGGUACACCUAACAAAACGUAAGCUCAUAUAAUGUAAC